rnacentral:rRNA from 1 species
UUUUAAAUUGCUGUAGUAUUUUGACUAUACAAAGGUAUUGUAAUAAGACUUUAAUUGAGUGCUAAAAGAAUGGAAUUACAAAAAAAGGCUUUUUUAAUUUUAAAAAUUAAAAUUAUUUUUUUUUGUGAAGAAACAAAAAUUUAAAUUAAAGACAAGAAGACCCUAAGAAUUUUUUUUUUUAUUAAAAUAAUAUUUUAUUUUAAAAAUUUAAUUGGGGCGAUUAAUUAAUAUUAAAAACUUUAUUAACAAAAAAAAUGAUCCAUUAUUAAUGAUUAUUUGAUUAAAAUACUCUAGGGAUAACAGCGUAAUAAUUUUUGAUAGUUCUUAUAGAAAAAAUAGUUUGCGACCUCGAUGUUGGAUUAGGAUUCUUUU